CCUACGGGGGGCAGCAGUGAGGAAUAUUGGUCAAUGGGCGCGAGCCUGAACCAGCCAAGUAGCGUGAAGGAUGACUGCCCUACGGGUUGUAAACUUCUUUUAUAAGGGAAUAAAGUGAGGCACGUGUGCCUUUUUGUAUGUACUUUAUGAAUAAGGAUCGGCUAACUCCGUGCCAGCAGCCGCGGUAAUACGGAGGAUCCGAGCGUUAUCCGGAUUUAUUGGGUUUAAAGGGAGCGUAGAUGGGUUGUUAAGUCAGUGGUGAAAGUUUGCGGCUCAACCGUAAAAUUGCAAUUGAUACUGGCAGGCUUGAGUACAGUUGAGGCAGGCGGAAUGCGUGGUGUAGCGGUGAAAUGCUUAGAUAUCACGAAGAACCCCGAUUGCGAAGGCAGCUUACUAAGCGGCCACUGACAUUGAUGCACGAAAGUGUGGGGAUCAAACAGGAUUAGAUACCCGUGUAGUC
rnacentral:rRNA from 1 species